rnacentral:rRNA from 1 species
UGGGAACCUGCCCCUCUCUCUGGGAUAACCCCGGGAAACCGGAGCUAAUACCGGAUACUCCGGCUGGAUCGCAUGGUCCGGCCGGGAAAGGUCCGCCGGAGAGGGAUGGGCCCGCGGCCUAUCAGCUUGUUGGUGGGGUCAUGGCUCACCAAGGCGACGACGGGUAGCUGGUCUGAGAGGAUGGCCAGCCACAUUGGGACUGAGACACGGCCCAGACCUCCGUACGGGAGCA